GAUGAACGCUGGCGGCGUGCUUAACACAUGCAAGUCGAACGAUGAGGCCCAGCUUGCUGGGUGGAUUAGUGGCGAACGGGUGAGUAACACGUGAGUAACCUGCCCUUAACUCUGGGUUAAGCCUGGGAAACUGGGUCUAAUACCGGAUAGGAGCGUCCACCGCAUGGUGGGUGUUGGAAAGAUUUAUCGGUUUUGGAUGGACUCGCGGCCUAUCAGCUUGUUGGUGGUGUAAUGGCUCACCAAGGCGACGACGGGUAGCCGGCCUGAGAGGGUGACCGGCCACACUGGGACUGAGACACGCACCAGACUCCUACGGGAGGCAGCAGUGGAGAAUAUUGCACAAUGGGCGCAAGCCUGAGGCAGCGACGCCGCGUGAGGGAUGACGGCCUUCGGGUUGUAAACCUCUUUCAGUAGGGAAGAAGCGAAAGUGACGGUACCUGCAGAAGAAGCACCGGCUAACUACGUG
rnacentral:rRNA from 1 species